CACGUAGGGGACGAGCGUUGUCCGGAAUCAUUGGGCGUAAAGCGCGUGUAGGCGGUCCGGUAAGUCCGCUGUGAAAGUCGGGGGCUCAACCCUCGGAUGCCGGUGGAUACUGUCGGGCUUGAGUACGGAAGAGGCGAGUGGAAUUCCUGGUGUAGCGGUGAAAUGCGCAGAUAUCAGGAGGAACACCAAUUGCGAAGGCAGCUCGCUGGGACGUUACUGACGCUGAGACGCGAAAGCGUGGGGAGCAAACAGG
rnacentral:rRNA from 1 species